CGCCUUUAAUCCAACUUCACUCUGAACAGAAAAUGGCUACACUCUUGAGUCUCUCGUCCUCCACUUUCGUUCCUAUUUUAAAACCCCUUGAACCCUUCUCUUCUUUUACCAAGACCCGCCCUCUCCUCGUCAAAAGAUCCUUUUCUAUAUCUUCCUCUCUCCAACAAUCAACAGCGCCAUCGAUAGCACUGCAAACCUUCUGGCAAUGGUUGAGUGACCAAGGCGUUGUAUUAACCAAGUUCCCUGCUAGGCCCGGUGUUGUCCCUGAAGGACUGGGGCUGAUAGCAGAGCGAGACAUUGCAAAAAAUGAGGUGGUUUUGGAGAUCCCCAAGAAACUUUGGAUAAACCCAGAUGCAGUUGCAGCAUCUGAUAUUGGAAGUGUUUGUAGUGGAUUGAAGCCUUGGGUCUCUGUGGCUCUUUUCUUAAUCAGAGAGAAAUUGAAGGAGGAUUCUACGUGGCGGCCUUAUUUGUGUAUACUUCCUAAGAGUACUAAUUCCACGAUAUAUUGGUCAGAAGAAGAGCUCACUGAGCUUCAAGGAUCCCAACUGCUGCGCACAACACUGGGUGUAAAGGAAUUUUUGCAGCGGGAAUUUCUGAAAGUAGAAGAAGAAGUCCUUGUUCCUCAUAAGGAGCUCUUUCCUUCCCCUGUAACAUUGGAUGACUUCUUUUGGGCAUUUGGGAUUCUCAGAUCAAGGGCAUUUUCUCGUCUUCGUGGGCAAAAUCUUGUUCUGAUUCCCCUUGCAGAUCUGGUAAGGUUUUUCAUUUCUUUCUUUAGGUCAAUUUUCAGCAGCGAGUUGAAGUACAUCUUUAAAGCUUGCUUGACAAUUAUUUUGUACUGUGUUAUGUUUUGCUUGAUAUACUAAUGAGAUUUUCUGGACAUAGCCAUUGGCUGGAUGGCCUGAAAUUGUUUUUCAACACCCUAUUUGGCGGAAAACCAUUCUGGCUGUUAGUCUGCAGUUCCUUGAGAUUGAAUAUUCUUUUAGGGAUUGAUACAUUGAGAUGAAACCGUCAUUGGACAAUGGACAUUCCGCAACAUGUAUAUAAAUAUUUCAGAUUGCAAUUAGGUGAUGUACCUAAAUAAAAAUGGGGAAAGUGUGAAGUCAUGCAGCCUAUAUGCUUGCAGCCAGGAUCCUUGUGCUAAAAAUGCUACCCAAAAGAAAUAUAGCAAUAAAAUGAAACAAUGGUCGUCCUUUAUGCAUAGGCCAUGGUCACUGUUAAGGAUAACAAGUCCAAUCUCAGUAAUAUUGUGGAUUUUUCAUGACUGCCUUCCCUCUGAAAUGUAAUUUUCUGCAAACCUGGCUCUUGGAUCAGGUCAAUCACAGUCCUGAUAUAACAACAGAAGACUACGCAUAUGGGAUUAAAGGAGGUGGUCUUUUCUCCAGAGAUAUUCUGUUUUCUUUGCGGUCACCCAUUUCAGUCAAGGCUGGUGAGCAGGUGAAGUAUUUUAGCUCUUUAGUUCUAAAGUGCUGCUCCCAAAAUAUUGUUAUAACAGUUUUUGUUUAGGUUUGAGUAGUUCUGAUAGAUCAAUGACCGCCAUGCUUUUUUGCCUACUUGAUAGUUGAUGUGGACAUUGUUCUGAAAAUUUUUCAAAUGUAUAAAACUAAAAGAACCAUAAAUAUAAUAAGAUUUUUUUUUGAAAUGAGAUAAGAUAUUAAUAUUCACAAAAUUUCAGAGUGCAAUUGCACACUAUAUAAGAUACAUUUUCAUUAGUAUUAUAAGCAAAAAUUAGAGGUUUUAUGGGUUAGAAGAAAUGCUUUCACGAGUAAGGAGUCAGGACUUGGGAAAAAUGAGAAUUCAAGAUGUCUCAAAAUCAUAAACACCUGCAGUCUGUAACUAAGCCUUGAGAAAUUACUUGUAGAGAUAACUUCAGCUCAUAUGCUUGCUUUGUGAAGUUGUGAUCCUGUUAAUAUGGCUAUUCAUUAUGACUAAGUUGGAAGGCAGUUCUACAGAUUCUGAUCCAGUAUGAUUUAAAUAAGAGCAAUGCUGAGUUGGCUCUGGACUAUGGCUUCAUAGAAAGAAAGUCUGUCCGCAAUAUGUAUACCUUGACACUUCAGAUAUCUGAGUCAGACCCAUUUUUUGGAGACAAGCUGGAUAUUGCUGAAACAAAUGGUUUGGGUGAGAAUGUGGAUUUUGACAUUGUUUUAGGCAAUGCUCUUCCACCAGCAAUGCUUUCAUACUUGCGACUGGUAGCACUUGGUGGCACUGAUGCUUUCCUCUUAGAAUCUAUUUUCAGGAACACCAUCUGGGGCCACCUUGAAUUGCCAGUAAGUCGUGCUAAUGAGGAGCUUGUAUGCAGAGUGGUCCGAGAAGCUUGUAAAUCUGCUCUUUCUGGAUACCAUACCACUAUUGAAGAGGUAAACUUAUCAUCCACAUUCCUCAUAAGAAUACAUUCCCAUUCGUUGUUGAUAGUUCUUUACUAGUCCAUAUUGUCUGUCUAAUUUCAGCUUAGAAAACUUGUCUGUGUUAGACUGUUAGGUUGCAUCCUAUGUAAAUAAGGUUAUCAAAUUAAGCUCAAGUCUACCGUUACCUCUUCUCUGCACCAUUGAAGGUAUUGAAGCUUGAAAUGACUUGCUAAGAACUAAUGGUCACCAAAACCUGUAUAGAUACUGUUUGUGAGAUUCAAUCAUGUUAUUAACAAGUAGGCAGUUUAGCUGUGAUCACCUUUAAGAUCAGACUUCUAGUCUUUCUAUAAAUCAGCUGAAGCCUGUAGGGAGCUAGCCCAUACUCAUAGUUUGAUCACAAAUUAUUUCCACAAAGCUCCAUUUUCAAAUGUUCUAAAUCAUUCUUUAAUCAGUAUCUUUGCCCACAAUUUGUGGGCCUUUCCACUUUUCUGUAGCAGUGACACUUUAUUUUCCAAAAUCUUAAGCAGGUGGUUUCUUCUAUCCUUCAGAAGUUUUAUGCUUGUGGUAACUAAACACAAAUAUCAAUUGCAGGAUGAAAAAUUAGAAGGGGCGGAUCUUAACCCAAGGCUUGAGAUUGCAGUGGGAAUAAGAGCAGGGGAAAAGAAGGUGCUGCAGCAAAUUGAUGAGAUUUUUAAGCAGAGGGAAUCAGAAUUGGAUGAGUUAGAAUAUUACCAAGAAAGGAGGCUCAGAGAACUUGGUCUAAUUGGAGAGCAAGGUGAAAUUAUCUUCUGGGAAUCCAAAUAGAGAACCGCAUCAAAUAUCAAAGAAUUUGAGAUCAUUAAUAAAAAAUAGAAAGAAUUUGAAACCAUUGCUAUGAGGGAGGAAAGCAAGGACAUCUGCGGUGGUAAACAGUCCUUUAUGAGUUGUUUGAAGAGAGGAAAUUAAGGACGCCCCUGGUAAACACCUUCAAUCAUGUAACAAGAGUUUUGCUUCAAAGUAAUGCUCAGGAUUAUUUUUCAUCGAUAUUCAUGCCCCUAGAUCCAAGAUAGUUGCACGAUGAGCUAUCUAUUCUUGGAAACUGUUUGUUGUAACAUGGAUGGUAGCUGCUUGUGUACAGGAAGUAUGUUGGCAUUUUCAUGCUUUGGCCCGCGGUGGUCUUUUAUUAAUGGGCAAUUUAUUAUUUGGUCUUUGGAUUUUGACUGAUAUUGGUCUCUGUAUUUUAGAAAUUGAACGGUAAGUCUUACUCAUACUUCCGUUAAAAUCAAAAGUCUUUCUGUCUAAUAUUACAAUUAGUUUAAGUGAAAAGAUAAAUAUGCUUAUUAUUCAAUUAAGGAAAGUUUAUUUUUUAGUCUCUAAAUUUUGAUUGAUAUUGUAACUUGAACUCUGUAUUUUAAAAUUUAG
rnacentral:misc_RNA from 1 species